rnacentral:lncRNA from 14 species
AAAAAAUCCACUGCAAUGGCAGUGUGAAAAAAUCAGUAAGACUUAUUUGUUCACACUGCAGCUGCUACUCUCAAGGACAUCACUUUUCAGACACUUGCAGACAGCUUCAUUAGGAAAUGAACAAGCAGACCAUGAGGUGUCUGAUGUCCAAAGAGCGGUGCCUGUUAACACUGACAACUUAAAUGGAUACAGGAGUAAUUUCUAACUGUGUUUCUUUUUUCCUCAGAGGAUUUUAACUGGUAACACUGUGGUUAAAGCUUAGAGAUCACAUUCUCUCAGUGGAAUGUGUGGGUAACUUUGAGCAUGGGUUAUGGAGCUGUUUUCUGAAGCUGGCUGUGCUUUGGGACGAAUGCUUUACCUAUACAACAUGAAUCCCAAGGAGUUUGUCAGCUUGAGACAGAAGGGAAGAAGGAGAUCCCUGGAGCCGGUGCUGCAAUAUGUAGUCUGGUCUUCUUUCAUCUCAAACACCUGCCUUUGCCACUUUGUGUGGAGUUGACAAGUCAAGGAUCUAUUGGUGGCUGCUGUAAACCAUGCAGACUCAUUGGCAGACAAAAGAAGUAAGGGCUUACUGAGAUGGGACUUCAAUGAAUGCAGAUGUCUUGUGUACCUGAUUUUAGUAUGUGUGCACCAUUCACCAUACCUGUAUU